AUCGGGGGUCAUUAGCCGAAAGCUCGCUACAUGGACCUUACUAAAGCCUAAUGGGGUUGGACAGCUGUAGUCGUCAUAUGUAAAAAAAAAAUGAAAUAAAAAUAAGCAUGAAUGAGUUGGUCAGGCUGAACCCAGUGACAUGUGGUAAUGGCUGGUUUGACUCCAUUGUAUUGGACCUCUGUGAACCCGGGUUGUUUAGUUGGGAUUGAUAGCUCUUUCUUUACAUACGAACCAUUCUUGAUGAAUGUAGACAACAUGUGAUAUUCUGAAAAUUUGAUGGAUCAGGUUCUAACAAAUUGUAGAAACACUUGUGAACUUGAGUAGUGCACCUAAAACUCGGACGGUGCCCU
rnacentral:lncRNA from 1 species